rnacentral:rRNA from 1 species
UACGUAGGGGGCAAGCGUUGUCCGGAAUCAUUGGGCGUAAAGGGCGCGUAGGCGGCCUGGCAAGUGGAAGGUGAAAUCCCUCGGCUUAACCGAGGAACUGCCUCCCAAACUGCUUGGCUUGAGACCGGGAGAGGUGAGUGGAAUUCCCAGUGUAGCGGUGAAAUGCGUAGAUAUCGAGAGGAACACCUGCGGCGAAGGCGGGUAGCUGGGCCGACACUGACGCUGAUGCGCGAAAGCCAGGGGAGCGAACGGG